GCCGCCUUAGCUCAGUUGGUAGUAGCAACUCAUUCGUAAUGAGUAGGUCGCUGGUUCGAGUCCGGCAUGCGGCACCA
rnacentral:tRNA from 1 species